GAUUGAACGCUGGCGGUAUGCUUAACACAUGCAAGUCGAACGGAAACGAUACUAGCUUGCUAGUAGGCGUCGAGUGGCGGACGGGUGAGUAACGCGUAGGAAUCUGCCUGAUAGUGGGGGAUAGCCCGAAGAAAUUCGGAUUAAUACCGCAUAAUCUAUUCGUAGUAAAGUGGGGGACUUUCGAGCCUCACGCUAUCAGAUGAGCCUGCGUAAGAUUAGCUAGUUGGUAGAGUAAAAGCCUACCAAGGCAACGAUCUUUAGCUGGUCUGAGAGGAUGAUCAGCCACAUCGGGACUGAGACACGGCCCGAACUCCUACGGGAGGCAGCAGUGGGGAAUAUUGGACAAUGGGGGCAACCCUGAUCCAGCAAUACCGCGUGUGUGAAGAAGGCCUGAGGGUUGUAAAGCACUUUCAAUUGUGAAGAAAAGUUAACGGUUAAUAACCGUUAGCCUUGACGUUAACUUUAGAAGAAGCACCGGCUAACUCCGUGCCAGCAGUCGCGGUAAUACGGAGGGUGCAAGCGUUAAUCGGAAUUACUGGGCGUAAAGCGUGCGUAGGCGGUUUAUUAAGUCAGAUGUGAAAGCCCCGGGCUUAACCUGGGAACUGCAUUUGAAACUGGUCAACUAGAGUAUGGUAGAGGAAAGUGGAAUUUCUGGUGUAGCGGUGAAAUGCGUAGAUAUCAGAAGGAACAUCAAUGGCGAAGGCAGCUUUCUGGACCAAUACUGACACUGAGGUACGAAAGCGUGGGUAGCAAACAGGAUUAGAUACCCUGGUAGUCCACGCCGUAAACGAUGAUAACUAGCCGUUGGGGGGAUUUACCCUUUAGUGGCGAAGCUAACGCGUUAAGUUAUCCGCCUGGGGAGUACGGCCGCAAGGUUAAAACUCAAAGGAAUUGACGGGGACCCGCACAAGCGGUGGAGCAUGUGGUUUAAUUCGAUGCAACGCGAAGAACCUUACCUGGUCUUGACAUCCUGCGAACUUUCUAGAAAUAGAUUGGUGCCUUCGGGAACGCAGUGACAGGUGCUGCAUGGCUGUCGUCAGCUCGUGUCGUGAGAUGUUGGGUUAAGUCCCGUAACGAGCGCAACCCCUAUCCUUAUUUGCCAGCACAUCAUGGUGGGAACUAUAAGGAGACUGCCGGUGAUAAACCGGAGGAAGGCGGGGACGACGUCAAGUCAUCAUGGCCCUUACGACCAGGGCUACACACGUGCUACAAUGGGAAGGACAAAGAGCCGCGAAGCCGCGAGGUGUAGCUAAUCUCAUAAACCUUUUCGUAGUCCGGAUUGGAGUCUGCAACUCGACUCCAUGAAGUCGGAAUCGCUAGUAAUCGUAGAUCAGAAUGCUACGGUGAAUACGUUCCCGGGUCUUGUACACACCGCC
rnacentral:rRNA from 1 species